CCUCACUCUCCAGGUGCCCUUUGCACCCAACAGUGCGUGUGAGGAACGAACUGCUGUUUGAACGUCCCCUGAGAUUGUGCGUAGCCCCGUGUAAAUGUAAUAGCCUCCAUGGCUUAAUUGGCUAUCAAGCGAAUUUUCCCAGAUGAAAGCAAUGUUGGGUUAGGGGACGACGGUGCAGCCACCCAGCCUUUACCAGCAGCGUGCUGCAGACGAAGGCAGUCAAGGUGUGGAGGUGAUCACGCAGGUGCAGCUCAGUUGCCGUGAUGCUCCUUGAGUCAAUGAGCUCUUUGGUCUGCUCUUCUGCUCAAGCAGAAAAGGAUUGGCACUUCACCCUUGAGAAGCUGACAAGAACCACAGGCUUCUUCAGGCAGGUGGUGGAACAUGGGUGUAUCCUGCAGGCUCUAGCCUGAUUUUCUGGCUCAUAAGGCCAAAGGGAGCUGGAAAAGUCCCCACGGCAGGACUCAUGGUGGAGAGAGAAUGAUCUAGAGGAUUCAGGCCUCUGCAUACUGUGUCUGGGUCCCUCCUUAAAGAAUGAUAAAGACAAGUAAAGAGCUUGAAGCAGCCUGGAGUCCAGCCAGAAACCUUUAACUGAGCUUUAAAGGAGAUGGUCACAACACUUUUCAGAAUACUGGCAAAGGCCUCCUGUGGCCAGGUUUGUCCUGGGAUGAGCAAAAUUUAAUGUUAACCUGCUGUAUCUUUGCUUUUAAUAUAUCUGCUUGCCCAUCACAAUGAUGUUAUGGUUAAUUUCACCAAUUUGGUAACCUGCCUCUUGGGAAGUACGAAAGUAAGCAAGGGCCAGGUGUGGUGACUCACGCCUGUAAUCCCAGUACUUUGGGUGGCUGAGGCGGGUGGAUUGCUUGAGCCCAGGAGUUCAAGACCAACCUGGGCACCAUGACAAAACCCCGUCUCUACAAAAUAUACAAAAAUUAACCAGGAGUGGCAGUGCAUGGCUGUAAUCCCAGCUACUCGGAGGCUGAGGUGGGAGAAUCUCUUGAGCCUGGGAGGCAGAGGUUGCAGUGAGCUGAGAUCACACCACUGCAUUCCAGCCUGGGCAAUGAAGUGAGACCCUGUCUCAAAAAAAAAAAAAAAAAAAAAGAGAGAGAAAGACAGUGAGGGUGUCCUGUGAAUCAAAUCUUUGAAUGGAUGUUUUCUUAACUAACCAAGACCUCUGUAAGAAUUCUGUCUUUGAUUCCACAAUAAAGUGGUGUGAAAUUACUAUAAGCAAAUGUUUACAUGUCUCAUUUAAUCUUCACAACAAUCCUAUGAGGCAAGUAGAAUUGUUAUCCUCAUUUUCUGAGCGAUGAAACUGAGGCUCAGGGGAGGGUGUGACCUUGCCAAGUCCCCACAACUGGAAACCACGGAACAAAAUGACCUGAGUCACACAUGCUAGAAAAAACUCAUUGUGCCUCCCCAUGGAGAUUCACAAUGGCUAUUUCUGUUGCAAUAGAGGAUGAAGCAGGUGGUCUUUCCAAUCAACAGCUGUUAAGAAAGGCUCCAGUUCUCCCC
rnacentral:lncRNA from 1 species